GUAGGUGAACCUGCGGAGGGAUCAUUACAAAUCCAUCCACGUCUCAUCAUUUGAUCGAGACCACGUUGAAAUGUUCCCUAGUGUUGCUAUUCAUCGUCGUCUGACGAUGGCAAAGCAACACUAGGUUGUAAACUAGUUUAUCCUCUGUUGAUCAAAUGUACCUUUCUUGAUACGGUGUGGUAACACACACGAUCAAGGCAAACAAAAAGUACAACUUAUAACAAUGGAUCUCUAGGCUCUU
rnacentral:misc_RNA from 1 species